rnacentral:tRNA from 15 species
GCCCCACUGAACUUCGGUGGUCCGGGGUGCGGACUUCAAAUCCGUAGUCGAUUUGCGUCGAAGUGGUUCGAUUCCACCUGGGGGGCGAAU